rnacentral:tRNA from 1 species
GGGCAUGUAGCGUAGGGGUUAUCGCGUUCGCUUUGCAUAACCGGUAUGUGUCGUAUGUACUUUGCGAAAGGUCUCCGGUUCAAAUCCGGACUUGUCCA